rnacentral:lncRNA from 10 species
CAAACCUGUGUUGUUUGAAGGUCAACUGUAUGAUGAUUGCCUACAUAGAACCCGGUAGCUUUCUACAGCACUUGGAAGGAAAUCCACACUCCUUAUCAACACUUCACCUUGACUUUCAGUCUGUGUGAUCUGGCCCUGCUUGCCUCUCCUACCUCUUCUCUCUCUACUCACACAUUAUUUCUCUUUCUUUUUCCCUCCUAAUACACCAAUGGCAUUUCCCCUCAAGGCCUUCGCCUCUUUGCCUGAAAUGCUCUGGAUUUCAUGACUCUGGAAAUCAUGACUGGAUUUUUUUUUUUUCAGCGUGCAAGUCAUGGCCGAAAUGUCACCUCCUUGGAUAGUCCCUCCAUCUUCACGCACACUAAACUAGUCCAUCUUGCAUGCCUUUCUUCAUGGCAUUGUGUGCCAUGCUCAGAAAUUAUCUUGUGUAUUCUUAAGUCCAUAUAUGUAUUACCUGUCUUUCCCUAAACAACUUCCCACCCUGAGCUUGUUCCUGUCCAUAUUCCCAGCUAAUUUUUGUAGAGACGGGGUUUCACCAUAUUGGCUCGAAUUCCUGACCUCAGG